rnacentral:tRNA from 1 species
GGAGUUGUAGCUCAGAGGUACAGCGCUUGCCUCCAAUGUGUGAGGCACUGGGUUCGAUUCCCAGCACCA